GAUGAACGCUGGCGGCGUGCCUAAUACAUGCAAGUCGAGCGAACAGACGAGGAGCUUGCUCCUCUGACGUUAGCGGCGGACGGGUGAGUAACACGUGGAUAACCUACCUAUAAGACUGGGAUAACUUCGGGAAACCGGAGCUAAUACCGGAUAAUAUAUUGAACCGCAUGGUUCAAUAGUGAAAGACGGUUUUGCUGGCACUUAUAGAUGGAUCCGCGCCGCAUUAGCUAGUUGGUAAGGUAACGGCGUACCAAGGCUACGAUGCGUAGCCGACCUGAGAGGGUGAUCGGCCACACUGGAACUGAGACACGGUCCAGACGCCUACGGGAGGCAGCAGUAGGGAAUCUUCCGGAAAGGGCGAAAGCCUGACGGAGCAACGCCGCGUGAGUGAUGAAGGUCUUCGGAUCGUAAAACUCUGUUAUUAGGGAAGAACAAAUGUGUAAGUAACUAGGCACGUCUUGACGGUACCUAAUCAGAAAGCCACGGCUAACUACGUG
rnacentral:rRNA from 1 species